rnacentral:rRNA from 1 species
UUGAACGCUGGCGGCAUGCCUUACACAUGCAAGUCGAACGGCAGCACGGGAGCAAUCCUGGUGGCGAGUGGCGAACGGGUGAGUAAUACAUCGGAACGUGUCCUGUAGUGGGGGAUAGCCCGGCGAAAGCCGGAUUAAUACCGCAUACGCUCUAACGGAGGGAAAGGGGGGGGAUUUUAGGAACCCUCCCGGUAACAGGGGCGGCCGAAGGCCAAAUUAGUUAGUUGGUGGGGGGUAAAGGCCUACCAAGGCGACGAUCUGUAGCUGUUCUGAGAGGAACGACCAGCCACACUGGGACUGAGACACGGCCCAGAACUCCCUAACGGGAGGCAGCAGUGGGGAAUUUUGGAACAAUGGGGGAACACCCCUGCAUCCAGCACAUGCCGGCGUGUGUGAAGAAGGCACUUCGGGUUGUAAAGCACUUUUGUCCGGAAAGAACACCUUCUGCCCUCAUACGGUCGGGGGGCAUGACGGUACCCGGAAGCAAAUAAGCACCG